AGCUUUGCGCAGUGGCAGUAUCGUAGCCAAUGAAGUUUAUCUGAGGCGUGAUUAUUGCUAAUUGAAAACUUUUUUCUUUCUUUCUUUUUUUAAAUAGAAAUGGGGUGUCACCAUGUUGGCCAGGCUGGUCUCGAACUCCGGACCCCAGGUGAUCCACCCAUCUUGGCCUCCCAAAGUGAAAACUUUUUUCAAUACCCCACCAUGACAACUUGAAAUAUAGUCAGCAUUGGCAAUUUUUGACAGUCUCUAUGGAGA
ensembl:snRNA U4 U4 spliceosomal RNA